rnacentral:rRNA from 1 species
UACGAAGGGAGCUAGCGUUGUUCGGAAUCACUGGGCGUAAAGCGCACGUAGGCGGAUGUGUCAGUCAGGGGUGAAAUCCCGGAGCUCAACUUCGGAACUGCCUUUGAUACAGCACAGCUGGAGUCCGGAAGAGGUGGGUGGAAUUCCUAGUGUAGAGGUGAAAUUCGUAGAUAUUAGGAAGAACACCGGUGGCGAAGGCGGCCCACUGGUCCGGUACUGACGCUGAGGUGCGAAAGCGUGGGGAGCAAACAGG